ACGGAGGGGGCUAGCGUUGUUCGGAAUUACUGGGCGUAAAGCGCGCGUAGGCGGACCUGCAAGUCGGGGGUGAAAGCCCGAGGCUCAACCUCGGAACUGCCUUCGAUACUGCGGGUCUCGAGUCCGGGAGAGGUGAGUGGAAUUCCUAGUGUAGAGGUGAAAUUCGUAGAUAUUCGGAGGAACACCAGUGGCGAAGGCGGCUCACUGGUCCAUUACUGACGCUGAGGUGCGAAAGCGUGGGGAGCAAACAGGA
rnacentral:rRNA from 1 species